AGAGUUUGAUUAUGGCUCAGGAUGAACGCUAGCUACAGGCUUAACACAUGCAAGUCGAGGGGCAGCAGGAUCUAGCAAUAGAUUGCUGGCGACCGGCGCACGGGUGAGUAACACGUAUCCAACCUGCCGAUAACUCGGGGAUAGCCUUUCGAAAGAAAGAUUAAUACCCGAUGGCAUAAUUAGACCGCAUGGUUUGAUUAUUAAAGAAUUUCGGUUAUCGAUGGGGAUGCGUUCCAUUAGGCAGUUGGUGAGGUAACGGCUCACCAAACCUUCGAUGGAUAGGGGUUCUGAGAGGAAGGUCCCCCACAUUGGAACUGAGACACGGUCCAA
rnacentral:rRNA from 1 species